rnacentral:rRNA from 1 species
UGGGGAAUAUUGGACAAUGGGGGCAACCCUGAUCCAGCAAUGCCGCGUGUGUGAAGAAGGCCUGAGGGUUGUAAAGCACUUUCAGUGGGGAGGAGGUCUUUUUGGUUAAGAGCUGGAAAGAUGGACGUUACCCACAGAAGAAGCACCGGCUAACUCCGUGCCAGCAGCCGCGGUAAUACGGAGGGUGCAAGCGUUAAUCGGAAUUACUGGGCGUAAAGGGUGCGCAGGUGGUUUGAUAAGAUAUCUGUGAAAUCCCCGGGCUCAACCUGGGAAGGUCAGAUAAGACUGUCAGACUCGAGUAUGGGAGAGGGUAGUGGAAUUUCCGGUGUAGCGGUGAAAUGCGUAGAGAUCGGAAGGAACACCAGUGGCGAAGGCGGCUACCUGGCCUGAUACUGACACUGAGGCACGAAAGCGUGGGGAGCAAACAG